GGGUGAGUAAUAUAUCGGAACGUGCCCAGUCGUGGGGGAUAACGCAGCGAAAGCUGUGCUAAUACCGCAUACGAUCUCUGGAUGAAAGCGGGGGACUCGCAAGAGCCUCGCGCGAUUGGAGCGGCCGAUAUCAGAUAAGCUAGUUGGCGGGGUAAAAGCCCACCAAGGCGACGAUCUGUAGCUGGUCUGAGAGGACGACCAGCCACACUGGAACUGAGACACGGUCCAGACUCCUACGGGAGGCAGCAGUGGGGAAUUUUGGACAAUGGGCGAAAGCCUGAUCAAGCAAUGCCGCGUGCAGGAUGAAGGCCUUCGGGUUGUAAACUGCUUUUGUACGGAACGAAACGGUCUGCCUUAAUACGGUGGGCUAAUGACGGUACCGUAAGAAUAAGCACCGGCUAACUACGUGCCAGCAGCCGCGGUAAUACGUAGGGUGCGAGCGUUAAUCGGAAUUACUGGGCGUAAAGCGUGCGCAGGCGGUUAUAUAAGACAGAUGUGAAAUCCCCGGGCUCAACCUGGGACCUGCAUUUGUGACUGUAUAGCUAGAGUACGGUAGAGGGGGAUGGAAUUCCGCGUGUAGCAGUGAAAUGCGUAGAUAUGCGGAGGAACACCGAUGGCGAAGGCAAUCCCCUGGACCUGUACUGACGC
rnacentral:rRNA from 1 species